GUUUCACAGUGACCCUUUAUGUGAACCAGAACAGCCGCUUCCCCAGUGAGCUGUCAGAAGGCGUCGUGCCUGUCUUGCUAGUGGGGAAACUGAGGCUCAGAGAGGCAGAAGACUUGCCCAAGAUCACACCACCGGGACCCAGGAUUCAAGCACAGGCCUGCCCAGGCUCUCUGUGGCCUCCUGGCUGCGAGGAGGCAGCCAGGGACCAGGUGCCACCCUUCUGAGACACCUGAGAUCCCAGGCCCGAGAGGAUGAAGGCAGGAUUACCUGGAGCGUGUCUGAAUGCUGGAGGAAGAAGGGCAGCUGGGAGAUGAAGCUGUCAGGACGGGCCGCAUCCCAUUUCCUGCCUUGUUUCAGUUCAACUUUCCAACAGACCUCCCUGGCUCGUCUUGCUCUCCUCUAAUGGACGAACAAACAGGCUCAGAGAGGUGGUGUGACUUGCCCAAGGUCACUCAGCUUGGAUGCUGUGGAACAGGGACGUCCACUGUCCCAGUCUGUUUAUGGGAAGCCGCUCUGCAACUGUCCUGACCCACCACAUGCCCCACCGCUGUUUCUCUUGCCCUGAUCCCUCGUUCCCUGGACCAGGGUGGCACAGCUCCAGGCUCUUGGGCCCUUCCCGAGGGCAGGCACCUGUGACUGUGUCCCCAAAGACCUGAGUGGCU
rnacentral:lncRNA from 1 species